rnacentral:rRNA from 1 species
UGAGCAAUCUGCCCUUCUCAUCGGAAUAAGCGUUGGAAACGACGUCUAAUGCCGAAUACGACCUCCUUUCGCAUGAUCGGAGGUGGAAAGCUCCGGCGGAGAAGGAUGAGCUCGCGGCCUAUCAGCUAGUUGGUGUGGGUAAUGGCCCACCAAGGCGACGACGGGUAGCCGGCCUGGAGAGGGUGACCGGCCACACGUGGGACUGAGACACGGCCCAGACCUCCGUACGGGAGCAG